rnacentral:rRNA from 1 species
AUUGAACGCUGGCGGCAGGCCUAACACAUGCAAGUCGAGCGAGCGGCGGACGGGUGAGUAAUGUCUGGGAAACUGCCUGAUGGAGGGGGAUAACUACUGGAAACGGUAGCUAAUACCGCAUACCAUCAGAUGUGCCCAGAUGGGAUUAGCUCGUAGGUGGGGUAACGGCUCACCUAGGCGACGAGCCCUAGCUGGUCUGAGAGAAUGACCAGCGACACUGGAACGUAGACACGGUCCAGACUCCGACGGGAGGCAGCAGUGGGGAAUAGUGCACAAGGGGCGCAAGCAUGAUGCAGCCAUGCCGAGUGUAUGAAGAAGGCGUUCGGGUUGGAAAGUACUUUCAGCGGGGAGGCGUUACCGGCAGAAGAAGCACCGGCUAACUCCGUGCCAGCAGCCGCGGUAAUAC